rnacentral:pre_miRNA from 1 species
GUUGUCGGAUUCACUUCAAUCCAUAUGUGUUGGUGUGGAUUGGGGUGGAAUUUAGUUCAAAUUCCACUACAAUCCACUUCAAUACAUGUGGAUUGAGGUGAAUCCAACU